rnacentral:rRNA from 1 species
UACGUAGGGUGCAAGCGUUGUCCGGAAUUAUUGGGCGUAAAGAGCUCGUAGGCGGUCUGUCGCGUCGGCUGUGAAAACUCGGGGCUCAACUCCGAGCUUGCAGUCGAUACGGGCAGGCUAGAGUUCGGCAGGGGAGACUGGAAUUCCUGGUGUAGCGGUGAAAUGCGCAGAUAUCAGGAGGAACACCGGUGGCGAAGGCGGAUCUCUGGGCCAUAACUGACGCUGAGGAGCGAAAAGCAUGGGGAGCGAACAGG